rnacentral:lncRNA from 1 species
CGGCAUCCUAGUUAUGCAUAAAGAGGAUUCAUGGGUCCAGUGGAAGUUGCAUUAUGAAUGAUGUUCAUUAUUAUUAAAAAUGUAUACUCUGAAACUUAGAUAAAAAAAAGUGAUUGAUAUUUAUAGGUUACAUUUGGUUCACGAGUUUCGGUCUCUAAAUCAUUUAGUAAAAAAAGAAAUCAUGAGAAGUAUAAAACUAAACUUCACUACAAAGGCAUAUAUUAUUUUGUUUACGCUUAAAAUUUUGUCAAACAUUCUACAGUAUUUUGAUAGAAUAUUAAACAUUAUAUAUUUAAUAUAUAUUUAAAAAAAACAUAAUUAAUAUGUACAAAAGAUGAAUCGAAGAUAAAGAAAUGCUUUCAUUAAAUAAAAAUUUAAAAAUAAAUGAUAAUAAUUAAAUAAUAGAAUAUCAGAAAACAUAUUAAUAACAAAUAAAAACUAAAACACAUCAAAAAUGUAAACA